rnacentral:rRNA from 1 species
AAACUGACCGGUGGACAAACCGGAGAGUGGGAUGACGUCAAGUCCUCAUGGCCCUUAUGGGUAGGGCUUCACACGUCAUACAAUGGUCGGUACAGAGGGCUGCACCUAAGGGAGCCAAUCCUUUAAAACCGAUCGUAGUCCGGAUUGAGGUCUGCAACUCGACCUCAUGAAGUCGGAAUCGCUAGUAAUCGCGGAUCAGCAUGUCGCGGUGAAUACGUUCCCGGGUCUU